ACGGGUGAGUAACACGUAGGUAACCUGCCUAUGAGACUGGGAUAACUAUCGGAAACGAUAGCUAAGACCGGAUAACUGGUUUUCUCGCAUGAGAGAAUCAUGAAACACGGAGCAAUCUGUGGCUUAUAGAUGGGCCUGCGGCGCAUUAGCUAGUUGGUAGGGUAAUGGCCUACCAAGGCGACGAUGCGUAGCCGACCUGAGAGGGUGAACGGCCACACUGGGACUGAGACACGGCCCAGACUCCUACGGGAGGCAGCAGUAGGGAAUCUUCCGCAAUGGACGCAAGUCUGACGGAGCAACGCCGCGUGAGUGAUGAAGGUUUUCGGAUCGUAAAGCUCUGUUGCCCUAGACGAACAGCAAGGAGAGUAACUGCUCUUUGUGUGACGGUAUAGGAGAAGAAAGCCCCGGCUAACUACGUGCCAGCAGCCGCGGUAAUACGUAGGGGGCAAGCGUUGUCCGGAAUUAUUGGGCGUAAAGCGCGCGCAGGCGGUCAAUUAAGUUGGGUGUUUAAGCCCGGGGCUCAACCCCGGUUCGCAUCCAAAACUGGUUGGCUUGAGUGUAGGAGAGGAAAGUGGAAUUCCACGUGUAGC
rnacentral:rRNA from 1 species